rnacentral:rRNA from 1 species
UGGGGAAUCUUGCGCAAUGGGCGAAAGCCUGACGCAGCGACGCCGCGUGUGGGAUGAAGGCCUUCGGGUCGUAAACCACUGUCGGGAGGGACGAAGCUCUGACGGUACCUCCAAAGGAAGCACCGGCUAACUCUGUGCCAGCAGCCGCGGUAAUACAGAGGGUGCGAGCGUUGUCCGGAAUUACUGGGCGUAAAGGGCGCGUAGGCGGUUCGAUAAGUCGGGGGUGAAAUGCUGCGGCUCAACCGGAGCAUGGCCUUCGAGACUGUCGAGCUGGAGCACGGUAGGGGCUGGCGGAAUUCCUGGUGUAGCGGUGGAAUGCGUAGAGAUCAGGAAGAACACCGGUGGCGAAGGCGACCAGCUGGGCCGUUGCUGACGCUGAGGCGCGACAGCGUGGGGAGCAAACAGG